rnacentral:tRNA from 1 species
GGGGCCGGUGACGGAACCGGCGCGGGGAUCGGUCCCGGGGGCCGGUGACGGAACCGGCGCCGGGUUCCGUCGCGGAUCUCCGCCUCGCGGUUCCG